UCUCCCACCAGGGAGGCAACUGUUCCUGCUUCAAACUUCCCUGCUGCAUCUAAAAGAAUAAAACUCACAUUUUUUUUUUAAACUCCUGGAGGCUCCAUCGAUGCCUAUCUUGUGAAAUGGUCCUAGCACACUUUGUUACCCCGGAUCACAAGGCUAUAUUAUCCCUGAAGAAAUUCAGAGGCCUGACGGGGGAGUCCAGCCACCCUCCUGUGUCCAUCUUCUUCCUCAGCCUCGGACAGCGGGGAAAACACCAGAAAGCCCAGGAACGAAGGCCAGCGGUCAGUCCGCCGAGAGCAAAAGAUGGAAGGACCCAGGCAGGCUCUGAAACCCACAGAAAAGGGCAGCACCCCCCAGGAAGCUCUGUAGGACCUGGGUGGGCGUAACUCGGGGAAGGAAGGACCGCAAAGAUAAAUUGGUUGUAAAGAAACUCUAGGGAGACUUAAGCUGGAGCCCGGUGAAGGCACUAGAGAACUGGCCGGAUACCUCCGCUCAAACAAGGGAGGGAAUGUGAAAGUUUCUGCCCAGCCAAGUUGUACUGGCACAAAAGGAGGCUAGUGUGGCAGAGGGAGUUUAUUACUUUCACCGCCCCCUAGCCCCCAAAAAGGACUUCUGAAACGCUCACCAAGAAUGAAGUUCAAGCUGAGUUGACAGCACUUCCCCAAUCAAACGCAGAGCAAGCACUCCCCUGAGUUCAGGCUGGCAGAGGACUGGGGCCCAGCCCUGGUCGGGCAGAGUCAGAAGCCAAGGGGACUGGGCGCCGCGGAAUGUCGGUGGGAAUGUGGAGUGUUGUCUAUCCAGGACGUGUUGAAGCAACAACACAAAUAAAGUCUACUUUCCUCAGUCUUGAAGGCCAGCCCUCCCCCUCCCUCAUUUGACUCCAGGCCUGGACCGCCCCAGGUCCGGUUCGUGCAUCCGCGGCUGCGGCGGUACGGUUACAAAGGUGAUUCUCACUAUCCCCAGGCCGGCCCCUAGAAGCCCCCACUGGAAUCCACCUCCCCACUUCCCCCUCUCCACACAGUCAACUGAGGGCUGAGGGUGGCUGCGAAGAAGCGUAAGAGGUCAGCCUGUCUGCACUCAAGGUACAGGAGAGAGGUGACCCCAGGCCUGCGACCUGGUCUGUGCUGACCGGAAAUGAAUUGCGCAGCUCUCUCGGAGGACUGUGGGUGCGCAGGCAGCGGCGGGGCUGGCUGGAGGAUGGCCAAAGGAAUACAAUGCUGGAAGGGGUGCCUGAAUAAGGUCUGACUGGAUCCGUCCUCCCCUUCUUCGCUGCCCCAAUAAGAGAGAAUGAAAAUUGCAGAUCGGAAGGAGAGAGAAGAGGAAGGUCGGUCCUGACCUUGACUACAAGGCCUUGGCCAAAUCUUUGAAGUAUGGGCUCCAAAAAGACGAAGGCUCAGAGGACAAAAAGCUUCCAAGUUCUCAGAGCCCCGGUUUCUGCUGCCGAACAAUGAAGAAAACUCUAUUUGCCCACGUGAUUAGAAGAUAAAGAGAGAUAAUGGGUAAGAAAUCAAAUUACAUCACAAUACCGCUCCCAUCAGAGGCUUAGCCAACACACCCAGGAGCUGGACUAGUGGCCUUUGCUGUCCCUGGGGUUAGGGGGUGGAGAUCUCUUGUCUCUGGCCUUUUUGUUCUGGGUGGUAGGAGGAGGGCUUCGGGAAUGGGACACUUCCUGCAGCUGCCUCUGUCCUAGCCCCUGAAAUGGGUGGCAGUGGAUGCUUCCGUUAAGUUAGGGGCCAUGGCCGGUAAAGGAGGAGGUAGAAGAGCCAUGAACCCACAUCCCCAUGUGCUUUCUGUCCUUUGGGGAGAGGGAGAUGGGGGCUGGGGGUGGGGACGGCUCCAGAUUCUGAGCUGGCCAGCACUUCAGACCUCGGACUUCUUCACCUGAAGGCCAACCAGCAAAACCUCAAGAAGCCAAGCACCACUGUCAAGACGGAUGCUUCCAGUCACCUCUGAACACCAAUUAUGUGCAGGCACCACCCCCAAAACAACAGUAAGACAUAAGAGACCCAUAGGAAUGUUUAAUGACUUCCAACUGCUCUCCAGGCCCCUGGACCCCAAGUUCCCAAGCCCUUAGACAGAGACAGUGUGGGACUCUUCCUGGGGUACAGAGCCUAGCACUUUUAGUUCCCUGGUGAGAAACGGGAUGUUGAGCCAAAUUUCGGGGACUUUUUCAAGAAAAGAGUGGGAUAACUGGACCAUUCUCAUUUCUUCCAAAAAUCAAUCCUGUUGGGGGAGGGGGCAUCAGGAAAUAAACUCUAGAGGAAAGGUCCCCAUAUUCAUGCAAGUCCCAAACACACUAGACAAGGGUUCUGAUGCGCAAAUGCACACUAGUGCAAAUACGGACACCCCCGAACUCACAAAUGUCCAAUAAUGUGUCAGACCCUGCAGCGUAACAACCACUCAGCUGCACAAUACAAAAACACACGCAGAAUACAAACAAAAUGGCCGGGAACCGAGGCUCACCAUGAUGUGCACACUAUUACAUGUGCACACAAACGUAUGGACACCCAUCUGGCACAUUUACGUACAUACCUAUACAUAGUUGCUUACAUGUUACAUGCAUCUUGCAUAUAGGGAAAAAAAGGAGAGUAGAAUUUAUAGUGUAUAAAAUUCUAAACAAAAGAGAGAUGGGAACCUUUAAAUAGGCUCUUAGUCUUAGCCUCUGAAAGCUUCAGGGGGUGUCAGUCCUGGAGAGUCUGUCCCACUCACUGACAACUCCCCAGAGGGUUCUCUGGGUUGGCCAAGUGUCUGGCCUGUCCUAGGAUCUUCUGUGUACAAUCUCCUCUCCUUGAAAUGAGGAAUUUGGCUAAGCUUUGCUGGAUUUGGAAAAGGAACCUCUAUACUGAAGCUUCAGGUCAGGGAGAGGUAGGCCUCUGGCUGUUUGGGGGCUUCCAGACCCCCUGAACAGGAUCACUAGAUACAGCUUUUCACACAGACGGGCCUCCUCUUUGUAGUAUGAGGAGACUAUUACACAGUGAAGCCCUGCGAGCAUCAAAUCAGACUAGCUACCUGCGGAGGGGAAUCCCAUGCCCAAAGGAAGAGGUGAAGAGACUCUGGGCCAAAGCUGGGCAGCUUUGCAAACAGUCUGCCACCAUUGCAGGCCCUGGUAAGGCCU